AGAGUCUUAGGUAAUUUGAACUCUAAGGAUCUUAUCCAAUCUGAGUCCAAUUUGAAUCUGAUUCGAACUGGAUUCGAACUAAACUCGAAGAGCUUGUCAAUCCCAAUCUAAUUAGAAUUUUGGUCUAAGUUUAACUUAGAUUUUUAACCUAAUCAAACCUUAAUUAAAUCAGAUCUAAUAUAAAAUUAAUUAGAAUAUAAAUUCAAUCUCUCAUAAAUCUCUUAGAUUAUUGAUCAGAUCA
rnacentral:lncRNA from 1 species